rnacentral:misc_RNA from 1 species
GAUGAAGAACGUAGCGAAAUGCGAUACGUAAUGUGAAUUGCAGAAUUCAGUGAAUCAUCGAAUCUUUGAACGCAUAUUGCGCUCUCUGGUAUUCCGGAGAGCAUGCUUGUUUGAGUAUCAGUAAACACCUCAACUUCCAUAUCUUUUUUGAAAUGGGAGUUGGACUUGAGUGAUCCCAACGCUUUUCCUCACCGAAAAGUGGCGGGUUACUUGAAAUGCAGGUGCAGCUGGACUUUUCUCUGAGCUAUAAGCAUAUCUAUUUAGUCUGCCUAAAAAACAGAUUAUUACCUUUGCUGCAGCUAACAUAAAGGAGAUUAGUUCUUGUGCUGCCUGAUGCAGGAUUCACAAAGACAGGCUUCGGCCGACUUUGUAAACUCGAUCUCAAAUCAAGUAAGACUACCCGCUGAACUUAAGCAUAUCAAUAAGCGGAGGA